AAAACUGAUUUGAAAUGAUUCAGCGAAAACUAUUUGAAUAAUUUGCAAAUGAUCUUGAUACGGUAUAUUUCAAUAGUUUUACAGUUUGUGCGGCUCCACAGUGCGACAACAGACCAGUGUGUGCACACUACUCACUUGUAACUAUCAUCGAUGCGUUUGGUGGUGCGUUUGUAAUUGCCGGGCUCCCAGAAGGAUUCACUUCUAGCCUGCAGAAGCUGAUCAUCGCUGUGGUGGGACAUUUCC